AUUGAACGCUGGCGGCAGGCCUAACACAUGCAAGUCGAACGAGUGGCGGACGGGUGAGUAACGUCUGGGAAACUGACCGAUGGAGGGGGAUAAAUACUGGAAACGGUCGCUAAUACCGCCUACCAUCAGAUGUGCCCAGAUGGGAUGAGCUUGUUGGUGGGGUAACGGCUCACAAAGGCGACGAUCCCCAGCUGGUCUGAGAGGUGGACAGGCCACACUGGAACUGAAAAACGGUCCAGACCCACACGGGAGGCAGCGGUGGGAAAUAUUGCACAAUGGGCGAAGGCCUGAUGCAGCAAGGCCGCGUGUAUGAGAAGGGCCUUCGGGUUGUAAAGUACUUUCAGCGGGGAGGCGUUACCCGAAGAAGAAGCACCGGCUAACUCCGUGCCAGCCGCCGCGGUAAUUC
rnacentral:rRNA from 1 species